AUUUGAUUGCCCCGUCAUUUAAAUAUUCUUACAGAAUGGAAAGUGGCGUCGUCUGUUGGCAAAAAAUAUAAAUUGGUAAAUACGUAGCAACUUCUCGCCACCUGGCGGGUAAUAUUAAAUGCCAGAAACUAUAUAAUUUAUUUCAGAGAAAAUAACUUAUCAAGACAUAAGCUAUUACACCGAUUUUAAUGUAAUCAUUUUGUCAAUUACUUGAUUAUGGCAAAUAACCUCACAAUUUAUUUUAUAAAUGAUUCGAAGUGCAUCAGACAAAACAUUAUCCAAAGAAUUAAAACAUAAUUAAAAGUAUUAUUCGAUAACUACUGUCAGACUUUCGUCAAAAUUAACAGAUUUUAAUGUGAGGGUCCCGCCACGUAUGUAGACUGAUGUCUUAGUCUUAUCAUUCGACAACCCCACUUCUGAUACCAGUGGGAGGAUCCCGCAGCGGAUGGCCAAAUAAAAAAUGUGUAUCGAUAAAUUUUAGUAUAUUUUCGAAUAGGGUAGCUAAUAAGUGACGCAGCGAUCCAAAAUAGCGGAAUUUAUUCGGAUACUCAUAUAAAACGAAUAACGUAUAUUUCUUUUAAAAAAGGAAACAAAAUACGCUUUGCUCGAGAGAGCUACCCAACACGGAGAUCAUAGCUGAGGGAGAGAAUGAAAGAAAAAUUAUGUCGUUCCUCCAUUAUUCUUUAUCUUCGUCCCCUAAUCCUGGUCGGACGACCACCGACGGGACGCGCCGCGGAUUCUCCUGCCUAUAUUUUUCUGCUCUUUUUGGAAAGUUUUCUUUUCUGUGUCUCAGUCGCCUCUCGUCUAUCCUUUCUUUUCUCGAAAGACCAACUUAUCUUUUAUUUAUUCGAUAAGAGACGAUCGUAUUCUCUUAUUGUUUAGCAGACGUUUCUUCAUUAUUUGAUGAAAUCGAUCUUUCUGCUUCCCUAGACACAUUCAAUUUUUAUUAGGAAAUUAAUUUCAAUAAUUAUAAAAUUCUAUCAAUUAAAAUACAGAAUUAUUUUAUUAUAGUUGGCUGGACUCCAC
rnacentral:lncRNA from 1 species